rnacentral:rRNA from 1 species
UACGAAGGGGGCUAGCGUUGCUCGGAAUCACUGGGCGUAAAGGGUGCGUAGGCGGGUCUUUAAGUCAGGGGUGAAAUCCCGGAGCUCAACUCCAGAACUGCCUUUGAUACUGAGGAUCUUGAGUUCGGGAGAGGUGAGUGGAACUGCGAGUGUAGAGGUGAAAUUCGUAGAUAUUCGCAAGAGCACCAGUGGCGAAGGCGGCUCACUGGCCCGAUACUGACGCUGAGGCACGAAAGCGUGGGGAGCAAACAGG